rnacentral:lncRNA from 1 species
AUAGAUAUUUUCUCCUUACAUAAUUACUAAUAGAAAGUACUUCAUUUCUUCACUUGACUGCUUUUUCUGUGACUUUCCUCACUUCACUACUGAAGCACAGGAAGAAGCUUCAACUCCUCCGUUUCAGUAAUUUCUAAGCGGAGAACUGGAAGAUAAGACGUGAAUAGAAAAAACCAACAAGCAAUUAGUGAUUUUAUAAACCGAACGAAAACAGCUAUACUCUCAAGCGGUAGGCCUAUUGGGUGAGGUGGAAUGCCUGAUUGACUGACCUUGCUACCAACUACCCUUGCUUUCCAACAAUCCUAGCUUUAUUUUCUCCUGACUUUCUGAACUUCAACUAUUUACUCUUACUUUAAAGAAAGAUAUUUGUCAAGUUAUAUAGAAGUAAGCAGUACUUACACUUACCUAUCCGCUCGUGAAGAGAUUACACCUGUCAAAGACGGAGAAAGCCCUAGCUUCACUCGCUAGGCAAACAUCACUGAAAGAAAGCGGUAAAACGUUCAAAAAGAAAGAAGUAAAGAAGUAAAUAAGAAUAAGAACAUAGUUGCUUUCGCAGGUUUUCUAUAUAGUUGGCUUUCGCAGAUACUAUCUGAUAUUAAUUUCAUUGGCUUGCGUCCAAAAAACACGGAAAAUAGGAAAAUGCAUCCAAAAAACACGGGAAAACAUGAUCAGGUCAUCUUUUACAUCCCCUCUAGGAAGGAAAAUGGGCUUGCAGCCAAAAAACACGGGAAAUAGGAAAUCAAGAGAGUUUUUCAGUUGUUUCCUUAGGUAAAUUGGCUUGCAUCCAAAAAACACGGGAAAUAGGAAAUCAAGUAAAUAAAGAAGUCAUUUCCUUAGGUAAAUGGGCUUGCAGCCAAAAAACACGGGAAAUAGGAAAAAAAGUAAAUAAAGAAGUCAUUUCCUUAGGUAAAUGGGCUUGCAGCCAAAAAACACGGGUUUUUGGAAAAAAAUCAAGUGUUGCAUCCACUCUAGGA